rnacentral:rRNA from 1 species
AAUAAUACCCCAUAGUCCACUACGCCUGGAACGGUGAGUGGAUGAAAGCUCAGGCGGCAUAGGAUGGGCCUGCGGCGUAUCAGGUUGUAGGGGGUGUAAAGUACCCUCUAGCCCUCUACGCGUACGGGUGUUGGGAGACAUAGCCCGGAGAUGGAUUCUGAGACACGAAUCCAGACCCUACGGGGUGCAGCAGGCGCGAAAACUUGGCAAUGCGAGCAAUCGUGACCAGGGAACUCCAAGUGGCUGGGGUAAGACCCAGUCUUUUCAGAACUCUUCAAAGGUUUUAGAAUAAGGGGUGGGUAAGGACGGUGCCAGCCGCCGCGGUAAUACCGGCGCCUCAAGUGGUAGUCGCUUUUAUUGGGCCUAAAACGUCCGUAGCCGGUUUGGUACAUUCGUGGGUAAAUCAACUCGCUCAACGAGUUGAAUUCUGCGAGGACGGCCAGACUUGGGACCGGGAGAGGUGUGGGGUACUCUCAGGGUAGGGGUAAAAUCCUGUCAUCCUGAGAGGACCACCUGUUGCGAAGGCGCCACACUAGAACGGAUCCGACGGUCAGGGACGAAGCCUAGGGGCACGAACCGGAUUAGAUACCCGGGUAGUCCUAGGUGUAAACGCUGUGGACU